UACGGGGGGAGCAAGCGUUGUUCGGAUUUACUGGGCGUAAAGGGCGCGUAGGCGGCCACCGCAAGUCGACUGUGAAAUCUCCGGGCUUAACCCGGAAAGGUCAGCCGAUACUGCGGGGCUAGAGUGCAGAAGGGGCAACUGGAAUUCUCGGUGUAGCGGUGAAAUGCGUAGAGAUGUGGAGGAACACCGAUGGCGAAGGCAGCCCCCCUGGGUCAAGAUUGACGCUCAUGCACGAAAGCGUGGGGAGCAAACAGG
rnacentral:rRNA from 1 species